CCUACGGGUGGCAGCAGUGGGGAAUAUUGCACAAUGGGGGAAACCCUGAUGCAGCAACGCCGCGUGAGUGUAGAAGUAUUUCGGUAUGUAAAGCUCUAUCAGCAGGGAAGAAGAAAGACGGUACCUGACUAAGAAGCCCCGGCUAACUACGUGCCAGCAGCCGCGGUAAUACGUAGGGGGCAAGCGUUCACAGGAUUUACGAGGUGUAAAGGGAGCGUAGACGGGUGUGCAAGUCUGAAGUGAAAGCCCGGGGCUCAACCGCGGUACGGCUUUGGAAACUGUCUGGCUUGAGUAAUGGGGAGGCAGGCGGAAGGCGUGGUGUAGCGGUGAAAUGCGUAGAUAUUAGGAGGAACACCAGUGGCGAAGGCGGCCUGCUGGACAGAAACUGACGUUGAGGCUCGAAAGCGUGGGUAUCAAACAGGAUUAGAUACCCCUGUAGUC
rnacentral:rRNA from 1 species